AGAUCUGCUGCUUCGUGGUUCUCCUCCUUAGCUCAUCAGCAGCUUCCUGUGGGCAGCUCGCAUCGGUCACAAUGGGUUUGGUCCGAAACCAGUGGCUGAGGUCGGAGUGCGGUGCCUUGAGGCGCUUGUCCCCUCUCAGGAUGAAAGAAUACAUCAUCACAGAGCAGACCUCCUUCUUAUAAUGCAGCUGUAAUUAACACAAACCUGGGUGUCUCUGAAACUCCUUGUACUGAACGUCCUCCAGACCCGGGAAACAAACCACCACCAGGAACCAGUGAGCUCUAGGACAGGAAAUAAAGGGAUGUUUGUUACUGUUCACCUGUCCAAUCAAAAGCUGAAACCUAAUUCUGCCAGUAAAUCUUAAGAAAACAAAUUGACAGAAAAAAAAAAAACAUCAUUUAGAUUAAACAAUAUAAAACAAUAUAAACAUUACAA